AUAACAUGAAUGCGGUGAUGCAAGAAUACUUCAAGUCACUUCAAAUGGAAAUCAUAGAGAAACUUAGGAAUGAAUUGAAUCAAAUGUAGUAGCUGGAGGAGGGAGAAGUGAAUCAAAGAGUUGCUGUUUGUGCACACCUGGUAUUACUCAUUUUGGAUUUUGCAGCUGAAUUUUAUUGAAUACUCAUAACAGUUAUGUGGAUAGUUUUUGUAACUCAUCAUGUGGAUGUUUUUUGGAACUUCAUGACAGAUGUAUGUUUUUUGGGUUAGCAUAGCAGAUGUACAUAACAACUCGUGUGAAUGUAUUUGGUCUUUUUGUAACUGCUGUUAAUCUAGGGGUUUCUUUUUGUGCUGCUGU